rnacentral:tRNA from 1 species
GGACCCAUGGUCCAACGGUCAGCGCAGGGACUCGUGAUCCCUUGGUUCCAGGUUCGAAUCCUGGUGGGGCGA